rnacentral:rRNA from 1 species
GAAGAGCCCAAACCAACAAGCUUGCUUGUUGGGGUUGUAGGACACUCUAUACGGAGUUACAAAGGACGACAUUAGACGAAUCAUCUGGAAAGAUGAAUCAAAGAAGGUAAUAAUCCUGUAGUCGAAAAUGUUGUCUCUCUUGAGUGGAUCCUGAGUACGACGGAGCACGUGAAAUUCCGUCGGAAUCUGGGAGGACCAUCUCCUAAGGCUAAAUACUCUCUAGUGACCGAUAGUGAACCAGUACCGUGAGGGAAAGGUGAAAAGCACCCCGGAAGGGGAGUGAAAUAGAACCUGAAACCGUGUGCUUACAAGUAGUCAGAGCCCGUUAAUGGGUGAUGGCGUGCCUUUUGUAGAAUGAACCGGCGAGUUACGAUUUGAUGCAAGGUUAAGCAGUAAAUGUGGAGCCGUAGCGAAAGCGAGUCUGAAUAGGGCGUUUAGUAUUUGGUCGUAGACCCGAAACCAGGUGAUCUACCCUUGGUCAGGUUGAAGUUCAGGUAACACUGAAUGGAGGACCGAACCGACUUACGUUGAAAAGUGAGCGGAUGAACUGAGGGUAGCGGAGAAAUUCCAAUCGAACCUGGAGAUAGCUGGUUCUCUCCGAAAUAGCUUUAGGGCUAGCCUCAAGUGAUGAUUAUUGGAGGUAGAGCACUGUUUGGACGAGGGGCCCCUCUCGGGUUACCGAAUUCAGACAAACUCCGAAUGCCAAUUAAUUUAACUUGGGAGUCAGAACAUGGGUGAUAAGGUCCGUGUUCGAAAGGGAAACAGCCCAGACCACCAGCUAAGGUCCCAAAAUAUAUGUUAAGUGGAAAAGGAUGUGGCGUUGCCCAGACAACUAGGAUGUUGGCUUAGAAGCAGCCAUCAUUUAAAGAGUGCGUAAUAGCUCACUAGUCGAGUGACACUGCGCCGAAAAUGUACCGGGGCUAAACAUAUUACCGAAGCUGUGGAUUGUCCUUUGGACAAUGGUAGGAGAGCGUUCUAAGGGCGUUGAAGCAUGAUCGUAAGGACAUGUGGAGCGCUUAGAAGUGAGAAUGCCGGUGUGAGU